CUAGUUUAAAAAAAAAAGACAAGCCAAUUCGAUCGAAAGAAACUCUCUUUCCCAAUGGAUCCGUCGGAUUAUUUAACCGGCAAUAAUCCUUCCGAUCUACAGAACCAGAAACGACAGCUUCAGAUCUACGGUCCUCGUCCUUCACCUCUCAGCGUCCACAAAGACUCUCACAAGAUCAAGAAACCUCCCAAGCACCCUGCUCCGCCUCCCCAGCAUCAUCACCGCGACCAAGCUCCGGUCUACGCUCCUCGAGAGCCGGUGGUUAUCUACGCCGUCUCCCCGAAGGUCGUGCACACCACAACCUCCGAUUUCAUGAACGUCGUCCAGCGACUCACCGGAAUCUCUGCCGGGGUCUUCCACGAAUCCGGAAACGGCGGAGAUGUAUCGCCGGCGGCGAGACUCGCCGCGACGGAGAAUGCUAGCCCGAGAGGAGGAAAGGAACCGACGGCGGCUAAAGAAGAGACGGUGGAAGUCGCCACGGCUAUGGAAGAAGCAGCUGAGUUCAGUGGCUACGCUCCGGGGAUACUCUCGCCGUCUCCGGCUAUGUUGCCGCCAGCUUCUGCUGGAAUGUUCUCACCGGGAUGGUUUUCUCCGUCGGGAUUAAUGAGCCCGUUUAUUCUUUAUAGUCCUAGUUAUGCUAGUUUGGUUGCUUCACCAACGUUUGCUGAUGUCUUUAGUAGUCAUAUUUGGGAUCCUUAGAGAAAAAUAUAUUUAGAUCUUUAUGUAAUUUUUAUUCAUUUUGACAUAUCCCAAGAUUGAGCCCAAAGGGUUAAGAUGAGUGGUUUGUGUCUUUGUAAUGUAAAACUCAUUUAACUUCAAAAAUUUCAGACAGAUAGAUUCCCUUUUUUUUUUUGAACAACCAGACAUAGAUUCCUAGACCUAAGAUACUAUAUUUAAGGAAGUAAUAGUUCUAAGUUUCUUGCUAUAUUAAGGAAGUAGUAAUAGUUAUAAGUUUCUUCAUGUGGCUGCAACAGUAGAGUUCCAUGUUCCUCCGAUCAAUGUGCCAACUCUCUCUCCUUUGAUGGCUUUGGCGAUGUUUCCAGGCUCAGACAGAUUGAAGACCACAACUACAAGAAUCACAAACCAAAUAAAUAUCAUUGACGUAUAAGUUUCUUCUGUUGUUUAAGGUUUGAGAGAGUGUUUGUGAAGAGCAAACCUGGGAUGUUGUUUUCUUGGCACAAAGUGAUAGCAGUCAUAUCCAUCACGGAGAGAUCCUUUGAGGUUACUUCUUGGUAAGUUAGUGACUCGUGGAGGCGAGCGUUUGGGUUUCUCUUGGGAUCAUCGUCGAAGACUCCAUCUACAUUUGUUGCUUUCAGUACUACUUCUGCGUUAACUGUGAACAAGUUUUUCCGCCAAAACCGCAAAAACGAGUUUUCCCGCCAAAACCAGAAAGAUUAUUUUUCCCGCAAACCGCAAAAAUCGAGUUUUCCAACCAAAACCACAAAAAAAAAUUACCGACCAAAAACCGCAAAAAGAAAAAUUUCCGUUAAAAAAACAAAAAACAACUUAACAAGUUUUCUCGUUAAAACUAUAAAUGAGUUUUCCUGUCGAAACGAUGUUUACUGCUAAAACCGCAAAAUGAGUUUUCCGGUUAAAAUUGCAAAAUAAUUUUUUUUCUCGAAAAAACGAGUUUUUCCGCCAAAAUCGUAAACGAGUUUUUGCGCUAAAACAAGAUUUCUAUAAAAUUGCAAAAUCUUGUUUAUAUAUUAAAGCUCACAUUAAUGAUAUUAAUAUUUUACAUGAUCUUCAUAGUAAAUAAGAUAAUACUUUGGGUACCCACGGGUAAACCUAUACUUUAUUGGGUUAUUUUCUUGGUUUGAAUUUCAACCUUCAUAUUUUUCGGUUUUUGCGGGUUGGGUAUAAACUGGGUUGGGUUAUUUGUGGGUUGGGCUGGGCUGAGUUAUUUUACCCCUAGGUUAACAUCCCUAGUAAAUUGUAGUCUGUUUAUCGCUACUAGUUUUGGGUCUUUCUUUGUUUCUUGUGUGUUGUUUGUUAGAACCUUUUGUCAAAAAGAAAACAUAUAAGCCCUACUCCUAAUAUAGUAAUAAUAUUCAUACAAAAAGGUUACAAUAACACAAGAAGCAGAGUUGAGUGAUUAACUAAUUGCUUGUGCUAAACUAUACGCAUAUUGUGGGCUUUAAAGGAAUGAAAAGCCCAUUUUCCAAAUGACUUCUAAGUUCAUCGAAAAUUGGGAUUUCCUGUUUCGAGGUCAACAAUAACCGGUUUUUAUUAUAAGAAGAAACAACAAAAAUCGACCAAUCACAAAGUUACAGGCUUGCAAAGAUAACCGAACCAAUCAUCGUAAGAAAUUGCCAGCGUAGGUUAAAGUAUGUUUUUUUGUUUGAGAAAGGGAUUAGGUUAAAGUAUGUUGUUAUACACUUAUACUUCAUCCACUUAAAAUAAGCUCGGUGUUACAAUGUUCAUGGACCUUAAUAAACAAAUUAAAUUUGUUUUGCUGUAUUCCAGCAUAUAAAUGAAUGUUUGAACUUAUGUUUUUCUGUCAACAUUUUGAACUUAUGUUUAUAUAAAAGUUAGCCUCAGACCUAUUAACAUGUGUUGUUUCUCUUCGUUUCACUAUAACUAUCAUAUCAUGUUUUAUUAUAUUUAUUUAUAUAUCAAAAUAUAUAGGGUUUGUUGAAUAUACAUAUUACAGCUAGAAAAUGUGUGACUGAUCUCUACCCUUAAUAUUUUGAUAUAUAAAUCAAUAUAAUAAAACAUGAUAUGAUAGUUAUAGUGAAACUAAGAGAAACAACACAUGUUAAUAGGUCUUAGGCUAACUUUUAUGCCGAAACAAAUCAUGUAGCACAGCCAAUAAAUUAAAUUAUAAUGAAUUAAUAUACGCAAAUUGUUUGGCAAAGAAGUUGAUCACGGUAAACAGAAAACAUUAUUAUAAAUGUUGCCGCUGAUAAUGAAUCAAUGAUUCCUAAGAUCCUUCCUAAAAAUAUUAAGUGGAAAGACAAGAAAAAAGAAUUCCUAAAUUGAGUAUGUGCUGUAAAGGUCUAGUUGGCUGCAAAAAGUCAAUAUUUUGAAAGUCAAACUAAUCGGUCUGAAAAAACAAAUGUUUUGGUCAAUAUACUCGUCGGUUGAACUUUCAUUUCAACUCCAAAACCAAACUAGUUUAAAAAAAAAAGACAAGCCAAUUCGAUCGAAAGAAACUCUCUUUCCCAAUGGAUCCGUCGGAUUAUUUAACCGGCAAUAAUCCUUCCGAUCUACAGAACCAGAAACGACAGCUUCAGAUCUACGGUCCUCGUCCUUCACCUCUCAGCGUCCACAAAGACUCUCACAAGAUCAAGAAACCUCCCAAGCACCCUGCUCCGCCUCCCCAGCAUCAUCACCGCGACCAAGCUCCGGUCUACGCUCCUCGAGAGCCGGUGGUUAUCUACGCCGUCUCCCCGAAGGUCGUGCACACCACAACCUCCGAUUUCAUGAACGUCGUCCAGCGACUAACCGGAAUCUCCGCCGGGGUCUUCCACGAAUCCGGAAACGGCGGAGAUGUAUCGCCGGCGGCGAGACUCGCCGCGACGGAGAAUGCUAGCCCGAGAGGAGGAAAGGAACCGA
rnacentral:lncRNA from 1 species